ACAGUCACCAAGUCCCAGUUUCCACAGCAAAUUAUUCUAAACAGGGCUUAUUAUCAAGGCAUAAAAAAGUUAAAACACAGAUGGCUGGAGAGUUCCUGUUUAAUUUAAAUGCCCUGUGGCCCACAUCAAUGUGAGUCUGUCUUGUCCUAGAUUUACUAUCGAUAAAUUGGCUGCACUUAUUAGAUGGCAGAGGCCUAAGAUGUUGGUGGGGAGUAUUUCAAAUAGAAUUAACAUGAAGAGAUGCAGAGCCAUAUCCUAUCAUCUGUGAAAUAUGGAGAAGGACAAGCCGUACAUAAACAGCCACCAGGCCCACUGGUUCAUCACUGACACGGGUGGAGAAGCCAAGGCCUGAUUUCCAGGAAGUUCCUCACUGGAGCAAGAGUGUUUUGUUAAGAGUAAACCCACUAGUGCCUUGCCCUGCAGUCCCACAUUCUCAUUCACUGUCCAGAUCUUGCUCCAGGACCGAGGUGUCAUUCCCCCACUGCCAGGAGCUCUGCCUGCUGGUGGCUUACAGCUGAAUCCCUGCCCAAGAAUUGCCUUUGGCCACAGAGUGCUGCCUUGCCCAAAGUUACGACCUCUGCUGGAGGCAUCUUGCAUCCAAUGACUUGCCAGGGUGGGGAGCUUAAAAACCCAAUACUCCUGCCUCUGAAGGGCUGUCCCAGCUCCUGUGGGCCUGGCUGAGGCCUCUGUUAUGGCAGCAGCAUGGCUUACCCUCUCCUUCUGCCCAGUCCUGAUUCCCUUGUGCCCCCAUGGGUAUGGUUCCUGAGUCCACUCUCCAAAACCCCUCCUGCAUACAAUCUCAUCUCAGAACCUGCCUCCCAGGGAAACUGAUCCAUGACAACUCUCCUAACGUCUCCUGGGAGAAGACGUUCUGGAAAUUGAGAAGGAGAAAAUGCAAUGACAAGUCAUCAAGUGAGAAAGCAAGAGAACACAAGCAGGGGAGCUGCAGAGGGAGAGGGAGAAGCAGGCUCCCUGCUGAGCAGAGAGCCCAACAUUGGACUCAUCCCAGGAUGCUGGGAUCAUGACCUGAGCCAAAAGCAGACGCUUAACUGACUGAGCCACUAGGCAUCCCUAGUUGUCAACCAGCUUAAGCAAGCCCAUGAAGGCCCACAGACCAGGUCUUGGGACAUCUGUGCAGCCUUAGCCUUUCCUGCAGAUGGAGGUAGGAACAUCACUUUCUAACAAAGAAAAGCUUAUGUUAGCAGAGCUCUGGGAGAAAGGUAUGUUUGGGUUUUCCUGACUCCUGAUUCGGAGGUUUGGUUGCAAAGAUUCCCUAGAGGGG